AUCAGCGUGCAUGAAACAGUUUAUUACAAAUGACAGUGAUAAAAAAAAUCCCGAUGAUGAUGAAGACAUGAGUCCAGAUGUCUGAGAUCCAUAAAUUAAUAAAUAAUAAUAAUAAAUUAAUCAAUGAAUAAAUCCAUCCAUGUUGAAAUCAGGAUCUUCUCUGAUCCAUGAAUAAAAAAGUUCCUACAGCUGGUCUGCUCUGUCACAUGCACUGUAAAAAAACAAACACGAAUGACCUAUCACCUGUAGCAGCAGCAGUUACAUCAUCACAGCAACAGCCAAUCAGAUUUAAGAGUAGGCAGGGAAUGAGCGAUACAUUCUCAUUGGCUGCAGAGCACAGACACACGCCUCACCUGUCUACACCUGCUGUUAAACAUGAAAGAAAAGAGCACAUUUGGUGAACACACCUCACUCUCAUCAGGCCCAGCUACAGGAAACAUGCACCUUUCAAAAUAAAAGUCUGAGACAUCCUGAUACUCCAGAUAAAUUCUUUACAGUCAUAAAAGCUUCUGUUUUCUGCCCGCUUACAGUUUCUAUCUGUUUCCAGUGUUUGUGCUAAACUAGGCAGACACAGUCACAUACACACACACACACACGCACACACAUACACAUAUAGCAUUAGUAAAAGAGGGAAUGGGUGUGUGGAUGAUAUCUUGGGUCAGAAUUGAUCUAAAACAGAUGUUAAAUCUGAAUAAUCUGACGUGGAGGUUAGAAAUCCUGACUUAUUUUAGAGCCCAGGAACUCACAGAGUGAGCUUGGAGUUUGCUUUAACAGACUGUAGUGCAGCUGUUUGUGUUUACAGUGAGCAGGAAAAACAGUCUGUGUGGAGAGCAAAAGCAGGCGGAACACAGUCCAUCACAAUAACAUCCCGGCUCCCAUCAGCUGUGAUCGAACACUGACUUAUUUCUCUCUAUAAAGAGAUAUCUUCACAAAUCAUACUGUUAAUGUAACACUUUAGACAACCAGCAUUAAAAUUUCCUGACUUAUUUGAAUGCAUCAGUAUUAACAGACUUGACCCAAUAAUAGUCCUUUUAUUCCUAGUGAGGACAGACCUGCCAGGCUUGACUUUUUACUUAUUAAUAAUCUGCAUCAAGAGUUUCAGUUUUUUUUUUCUUCAGGUUCAUAAUGUUGAAGUCUGUUGGAGUUAAUUUUCUGUGUAACUUACUGUUUAUAGCAAAACUGAGAUUCUGAGUGAUUUACUUUACACAGUGAAACUGAGACUCCAGAGAUAACUAAUAUCCCGGCUCCUUUCUGCCUGAUCAACCUUCACUCACAUUUGAGGAACAAUACUUUACAUAUAAGUUGAACUGAGGUUAGAGGACUGCUGUUAGGAUCCAGGAUGCUAUUUUGGUGGACUUGGUUCAGCCUCUUGCUGUUUUUGCCCGGGCACAGUCCAUGUUCACAAACCAAAACCAGAAUGCUGCUGAAACUAAAGUCUGGACUGUUCCUGUAUUUAUUUAUUUUUUUGCAUAAUCUGUAAAUAGAGUUUACACAAGAGAAAAUAUUUCAGCUCAAUUACCAAAUCCAGAUUUUAGGAGCUCUAAAUGAGACAACGGGGGGCAAAUUCACACAAACUGGAGACAACUGCUUUGAAUUACACAUAUUUUAAAUCAUGACACUGAUGCUUUUCAGUGAAAUACUUCAUAGCGGCAAAAUCCUUCAUAUUUAAUAACCAUAUAUUCUUCCUAUCUACUCUGUCACUGUAAAUUCAACAAUUAAAGAGCAAAAUAUUAAAUAUAAUCUAAAUUAUCAGCAUCACAAUAAAACUGUUGUUUUCUCGGACCAGUUUAAAGGUUUUCUUCCACGUAGUUCCUGUAAUCCAGCCUGAAUCCAGCCCUCUGCUGGGAUCAGGGUAAUCCUGACUUUUUGGAUCAAGAUUAUCUCCAUCCUACUCAACACUUUGAACAAAAAAAUGAAAGGUUUGAUCAGGAUAAAAGCUGGAUUAGCUAAUUUAAUCCUUCUUUUCUCUUUUGAACAGCCUGUUUUCAUGAUAUGAUCCAGUAUGACAGUUCAGAUCUGCAUUUCAUAGAACCAGGUUUUCCCUCUUUAAACAUUUGAUAUGUCGUCUAUGCACUAUUUUACAUUAAAUACAGGCUUUAAAUGAUACACACACCAUCUGAUUUUGUCUUCAUCAACACUUUACAGCAUCUCAGCUGGUUUGGUUUUGCAUUCCUUCCUGGCAUCAUGUGCUUAAAGGUUUGACUACAGGUGUUCAAAGGAGGCUGAGCUCUGCGUGAUUUGGGGUCAAACUGAACCCAUUUCACCAGGUAACAGUGAGUCAUCAAUCUGAGAGCUGAUUGGUCGGACUGGCUGAUGAUUAGUGUGUUCAGGGAGCAGCAGGAUGUCUCAUUGGAUGUUUUUUUUUGUUUUUUUUUAACUUUCAGACGGUAACUGCGACAUUCAGCUCACACACAUUCAAAGCAUCAACAAUCACAGAAAAAUAACACCAGCAGAGCUCGGAGACAUUCAGUCAGAUUUCACAGGACGUUUCUACACACGCUGCUUCCUGUCUGAGCAGCUAUGACUUCCUGUCAGCGGCACAAACACAAAGAGAAACACAACCUAUCAUCACCUCAGACACACAACAGAUUAUCAGAGCACAAAGUUUAUACAUGGUCGUUGUACGGCGGCGGCGGAGCGAGCAGAUUUAGUUCAGCUUGUGCUGCGUAGAAGCAGAUCUACAGUGUACAUGUUUCUAAUAGACUGAAUCACUGACCUCAGUUCAGUUUGCAGAGUUUCACUUCAUCCACACCUCCAGCAGCUCUCUGCACACACACCUGCUUCAUCUGACCGUCUCCACCAUCUAAAACUCUGACUGCUUCAGUAGAUGAGCUCAGUUUGUUUCUGGUUCUGUGUGAUGACGCAAGUAGAGACUCCUGGAUUUCUCUAGGGCUUUAAAUUGACAUUUAAAACCUCUGAAAUGAAUUUAUACUCACUUAUAAUCUGCAAAAACACAGCUCUCAAAGUCUGCAGAGCAACAAGGAAACAACACACCGCUGUGACGGACGAUUAGUCAGAUUUAUAGAAGAGUGCACAGGUAAGAUUCCUGACCUGUAGGUAGGUGGAUUUGGAGAAGUAGACUGGGCAGAUUUAGAGCAACAGAUGAGUCAAAUUCAGAGGGGUAGAUGGGUCAGGAUAAGAUCUACUAACCCAUCACUAAAUUAUGUUGGAUCAAGUGCAUAAAUAUGGUGGAUUCAGAGGUGGUUUAAGAGCAUUGGUCAGGUAGAUCCAAGGCAGACGAUGGUUCAAAUUCCAAGCAGAAGGUGGGUCUGAUUCAGAGCUGUAAACAGGUCAGAAUCAUGGCUGUAGAUUCAGAAACAGCAUUAUAUUGGAUGGAUUUAAAACAGCUGAUUGGAUAGAUUCUGAUCAUUAAAUGGGGUAGAUUCAAAGCAGUAAACAGGGUGGACUCAAAUAAAUGGUCGGUGUAGAUUCAGAGCAGUAGAUUGGGUUGAUUCAAAGCAGUGGACAGGUUAGAUUCAGAUCAUUGGUGAAGCGGGUUGAUAGAAUUAGACAGGCCAGACUUGGAGCUUAAAUGGGAUAGAAAAUGAGGCAGUUCCAAAGCAGUGGACAGGUUAGAUUUAUAGCAAUGAACGGGUCAAAGUCAGAGCUCAAAUGGGGCAACUUCAGAGAAGUGGAUAAGGUGGUUUAAAAUUUGUAGAAGAGUUGGUACACAUGAGCAGAUAAGGUAAAUUCAAAGUGGAAAAUGGGUCAGACUAAGAGCCAUAGACCGUCUAGAUCCA